rnacentral:rRNA from 1 species
GACGAACGCUGGCGGCGUGCUUAACACAUGCAAGUCGAACGGUGAAGCGCCUUCCUUUUUGGUGGGUGUGGAUGAGUGGCGAACGGGUGAGUAACACGUGAGUAACCUGCCCCCUUCUUCUGGAUAACCGCAUGAAAGUGUGGCUAAUACGGGAUAUUCUGGGUCUGUCGCAUGAUGGGUCUGGGAAAGAUAUUGUUUCGGUGGGGGAUGGGCUCGCGGCCUAUCAGCUUGUUGGUGGGGUGAUGGCCUACCAAGGCGGUGACGGGUAGCCGGCCUGAGAGGGUGGACGGUCACACUGGGACUGAGACACGGCCCAGACUCCUACGGGAGGCAGCAGUGGGGAAUAUUGCACAAUGGGCGCAAGCCUGAUGCAGCGACGCCGCGUGAGGGAUGAAGGCCUUCGGGUUGUGAACCUCUUUCGCCAGUGAAGCAGGCCUGCCUCGUUUGUGGGUGGGUUGACGGUAGCUGGAUAAGAAGCGCCGGCUAACUACGUG